CAAGAGUUCAUAUCGACGGCGGUGUUUGGCACCUCGAUGUCGGCUCAUCACAUCCUGGGGCUGAAGUAGGUCCCAAGGGUAUGGCUGUUCGCCAUUUAAAGUGGUACGCGAGCUGGGUUUAGAACGUCGUGAGACAGUUCGGUCCCUAUCUGCCGUGGGCGCUGGAGAAUUGAGGGGGGCUGCUCCUAGUACGAGAGGACCGGAGUGGACGCAUCACUGGUGUUCGGGUUGUCAUGCCAAUGGCACUGCCCGGUAGCUAAAUGCGGAAGAGAUAAGUGCUGAAAGCAUCUAAGCACGAAACUUGCCCCGAGAUGAGUUCUCCCUGAGACUUUAAGUCUCCUGAAGGAACGUUGAAGACGACGACGUUGAUAGGCCGGGUGUGUAAGCGCAGCGAUGCGUUGAGCUAACCGGUACUAAUGAACCGUGAGGCUUAACCUUACAACGCCGAAGAUGUUUUGGCGNUGGAGCAUGUGGUUUAAUUCGAUGCAACGCGAAGAACCUUACCUGGUCUUGACAUCCACAGAACUUUCCAGAGAUGGAUUGGUGCCUUCGGGAACUGUGAGACAGGUGCUGCAUGGCUGUCGUCAGCUCGUGUUGUGAAAUGUUGGGUUAAGUCCCGCAACGAGCGCAACCCUUAUCCUUUGUUGCCAGCGGUUCGGCCGGGAACUCAAAGGAGACUGCCAGUGAUAAACUGGAGGAAGGUGGGGAUGACGUCAAGUCAUCAUGGCCCUUACGACCAGGGCUACACACGUGCUACAAUGGCAUAUACAAAGAGAAGCGACCUCGCGAGAGCAAGCGGACCUCAUAAAGUAUGUCGUAGUCCGGAUUGGAGUCUGCAACUCGACUCCAUGAAGUCGGAAUCGCUAGUAAUCGUAGAUCAGAAUGCUACGGUGAAUACGUUCCCGGGCCUUGUACACACCGCCCGUCACACCAUGGGAGUGGGUUGCAAAAGAAGUAGGUAGCUUAACCUUCGGGAGGGCGCUUACCACUUUGUGAUUCAUGACUGGGGUGAAGUCGUAACAAGGUAACCGUAGGGGAACCUGCGGUUG
rnacentral:rRNA from 1 species